rnacentral:rRNA from 1 species
AUACGGAGGGUGCAAGCGUUACUGGGAAUCACUGGGCGUAAAGCGCGCGCAGGCGGGCUGAUAAGUUGGAUGUGAAAGCCUACGGCUCAACCGUAGAACUGCAUCCAAAACUGUCAGUCUAGAGUCUGGGAGGGGAAGAUGGAAUUAGUUGUGUAGGGGUAAAAUCCGUAGAGAUAACUAGGAAUACCAAAAGCGCAGGCGAUCUUCUGGAACAGUACUGACGCUGAGGCGCGAAAGCGUGGGGAGCAAACAGGAUUAGAAACCCCGGUAGUCC